CAAUUUCAGUCAAACUUUUUACUAAUCAAAUAAAUAAAUCCCCUUUACUCCCAUAGAAAAAAUAAAAAAUAAAUUCAUCCAUUCGCGAAGCUCAAAAAAAUGGCGAGAACCCUAGUAAUCUUCACCAUUGUUUCUCUCUUGUUCACCAUCUCUGUAUCCUCUACAAACCCGGAUCCGAACCCGAACCCGAACCCGAAUCCGGCACCAUCGGAGGUACACAAGGAGCUAAUCAGAUUCGGGUUCCCUAUAGGUUUACUUCCGAAGAACGUAAAUGGGUAUUCUCUAAACUCCAGUUCCGGCGAGUUCCUGAUUUCUCUGGGUGAAAAGUGUAGAAUCACUCUUCCUCCAGAUAACUACCUUGCGACGUAUUCGAAGAAAAUUAGAGGAAAAAUUGUUGAGAAUCGUAUUGCGGAGCUUGAUGGGAUUAGCGUUAGGGCUUUUUUUAAGUGGUGGGGUAUUACAGGUAUCAGAUCUAGUGGUGAGAAUUUGGUUUUUGAAGUUGGAAUGGUUACUGCUAAAUACCCUUCUAAGAAUUUCAAUGAAAGCCCUUAUUGUGACGGGAAAAAGCAUUCCUCUUCCUGAGGGUCUGGUGAGAUGCUGAGAGAUCUUCCUUGUGAAAGACCUCAUGGAAAUGUAUUAAAGAAUACUAUCUUCGUUAAUGUUACUCUCUUAGAGGGUUCUUGUUAGCUGCUUCUACUUUAAUGGCUUAUGAAAUAAGCCCAACACUAUUGGGCAUGAUGGUGCUUGAUAAAAAUUAAAGAUCUCUUACCACAUUACCUUAUCCGAUCGAUCGACGAUUUAGUGAAUUGUGCAAGCAGUUGCUAGAUGUACUGUAUAUAUAUGCUCUUAUGCUAUCUGGAAUGUUUAUUAAUGGCUAAUAGAGAUUGCUGAAUCUUUUUACUCUAUAUUGUAUAUUUCCUGCUGCUGUGGGUGUCUUUUUCCUAA